GGUUCGGUGGUGUAGUGGUUAUCACGUCUGUCUCACAUCUCUUCUCUGUUAACUUUAUCGUGAGCACAGGAGGUCCCCGGUUCGAAACCGGGUCGAAUCA